rnacentral:lncRNA from 1 species
UGGUGCUCUUCUUGUUCAAAUAGUCUUCUUCCAGUCCAUCGUAUCUUGUAGCUUUGGUCCAUUGCAUCUUCUGAUAUAUGUCUUGUAGCUUUAAUCUACUUCAAUGUAACUUCAAAGAUAUGAGAUUUGUAGCUUUGAUCUGCUUCCAUGCAUCUUCAGAAAGAUGAGGUUUACAGCUUUAAUCUGCUCUUCUAUCGCUUUAGUGAGAUAGGGUUUGUGAUCUUCUCUUCUGUAACUCUAAAAAGGCAAGCUUUGAUAUCUUCGAUCAGCUCCACUGCAACUUCAGGGGGACGAGACUUGCAACUUUGACCUACUUUACUGCAACUUCAAGGAGGUCAAAUGGUGUCUUUCAUCAGCUUCAAUCUUUAUUCUUGCUCGGCAUGCGAUCUUGAGCUCAACUCAUUUCUCGCAAUAUGAAUUGACUCUUUAAAAAUAGAUAUUAAAAGGCUCAACUCACAUCUCGCAAUAUGAGUUGACUUUUUGAAAAAUAGAAAUUAAAAGGCUCAACUCAUCUCUUGCAAUAUGAGUUGACUUUUUGAAAAACAGAAAUUAAA